GUACAACACUUUGUUGGGGACAUGCGUCUCAUCUUUCAGAACCACAGCAAAUUUUAUAAAAGCAGGUUCAAAAAUCUUGGAGUCAUAGUGGGAAACAAAUUUGAGAAGACUUUCAAAAGCGUUUUUUCAAUCGAGGAUACAAGCAAACAACUUCAACCGUCUCAGCACACCGUUUUGUUAACCUAGUCCUUUCUGUUCCCUCCACUACCCAUCCCUCCAGCAGCCAACAGCAUUACACUCAGAGAACCUACCUUUCUUCGUAGACCGCCUGCCACACUCUGUCUCUAACUUUCUAUAUCGUCCUUCCUGUUUGAUCAUCUUUCUAAAGAGAACUUAGGGCAUACAAUG
rnacentral:lncRNA from 1 species